AUGGGAAUGAAUACAGAGAUAGAGUAAAUAUUAGUGUUUAUGAGACCAAGCCUUACUAUUUACGAGAUUUCAUGCUAGUUUUGUCUUUAUAGAGAGUAUGCAUUUGUUUCUGUAAAAGGAGCAAGGCGAGGAAUAAAAGACUGACGUGAGAAGAAAAUAAAAAAUGCAAGAUAAAUCCCGUUGAGAAGGCAGAUUUUGUUUACAUUUUGCGCCCCGCUGAGUGGCAGAGUGACCAAGUGAGCUCUGCACCAAAUCACCGUCCCCGAGGCUCCUCUUAACAGACACAGGAUGAAGCCAAGCAUGGUAGCUGAUGAGAUGUUCCCUGAGGGCGCUGGGCCUUACAUGGACUUGGACGAGGCUGGCGGGUCGGGUGGCCUCCUCAUGGAUCUAACUGCCAAUGAGAAGGCUGUACACGCUGACUUCCACAAUGACUUUGAUGAUCUCUUUGAUGAUGAGGACCUGAGCUGAAUGGAUUGUUGGUGCUUAGAAGAAUGUUGAGUGUUUUGCCCUCAGCGGAAGUGAAUGUGAAUGUCAGAUGAAUUCAUUUAUGUUGGAGAUGUUUGUGUAGUGAAUGAUUAUUUUAAUAUUAUGAGUUGGUGUAUUGAUAGUUUGUGUAUUGCUUUCAAGUGAAGGGAAUACAGAUAUGACUUCAAAUGACCAGGUGAUAUUUAUAUGAAGUAACUACUGAUAUCAUAUAAAUUUAUUACAGUACACUUCAAAAAUAUAUCUCUAGCUACUACUUAAGAUAUUCAAAUGAAAUGACAGCAGCUAUCAUACAAAAAAAUUACAGUACACUCCAUAAUAUGCAUAAACAUUUAACUACUACUGAUGUAACUAAUUUAUUUGGGGACAGAUUUCCCUCAGAUUAACAUGAAUUAUUGUGAGUAUUGUUCUGAUUAAUUUAUUAUUAUUUUCUUCUUGUCCUGUGUGGCAGUAAGUUUGUCACACCGAGUGGAAUAGGAUGUGCCUUUGUGUUUUCCUACUUUAUUCAGCAACUGGUCAAUCUGUCAAGCUAUCCAAAUAAACUGUAGCCAUUU